UAGAAGACUAAGCCCUCAAAAUAAAACAAAAAUGGCACCGUCAUCUUCUCCAUCUCAAUUCCUGAUUUCGACUUUUGCUCUCGAGACAUAUACCUAAGGAUCAAUUUGAUCAAUUAAAAGAGCAGCAAGAAAAAGGAGAUUUUUUUAAAUGAUAAUGAUAAAAAUGAUGGAUAUCUCCGUGCAUAUGACCUCGGAAAAAAUAUUAGUUAAUAUUUUGGUGGCCAACAAAGGUACAACUCAUAAAGCAAUUAGAAUCGAUCAGAAAAGCAACGAACGAGCGUGUGGAAGAAGUUAAAAGGGAAGCUGUGUAAAUUGAAGAAAUAAAGAAAGAAAAGGAAAUAAGAUAGCGGAUUUGAGUAAAUGAUGGGAAGAAAAAAUUCGAAUGAUGGUUGCAGCUCAAGGUCGACAAUUAAAUGAUGCAAAUCUAAUCCUUUUGGAGGAGUGACAGAAGCAUCAAAAUCAAUGAAGACAUGAAUAGUUAUUAUUUCUCCUGUAAAAGUAUAUUGAUGGUUUAAAAAGUGAUGUUUCACUAUUUUGAAUGAUAUUGU